AUUGAACGCUGGCGGCAUGCUUUACACAUGCAAGUCGGACGGCAGCGGGGUAGUGCUUGCACUACUGCCGGCGAGUGGCGAACGGGUGAGUAAUAUAUUGGAACGUACCGAGUAAUGGGGGAUAACCAAUCGAAAGAUUGGCUAAUACCGCAUACGCUCUGAGGAGGAAAGCAGGGGACCUUCGGGCCUUGCGUUAUUCGAGCGGCCAAUAUCUGAUUAGCUAGUUGGUGGGGUAAAGGCCUACCAAGGCGACGAUCAGUAGCGGGUCUGAGAGGAUGAUCCGCCACACUGGGACUGAGACACGGCCCAGACUCCUACGGGAGGCAGCAGUGGGGAAUUUUGGACAAUGGGCGCAAGCCUGAUCCAGCCAUGCCGCGUGUCUGAAGAAGGCCUUCGGGUUGUAAAGGACUUUUGUUAGGGAAGAAAAAGGAGCGGUUAAUACCCGUUUCUGCUGACGGACCUAAAGAAUAAGCACCGCAUUUCC
rnacentral:rRNA from 1 species